UACGUAGGGGGCUAGCGUUGUCCGGAAUCAUUGGGCGUAAAGAGCUUGUAGGCGGUUUGUCGCGUCUGCUGUGAAAUUUCGGGGCUCAACCCCGAACUUGCAGUGGGUACGGGCAGACUAGAGUGUGGUAGGGGAGACUGGAAUUCCUGGUGUAGCGGUGAAAUGCGCAGAUAUCAGGAGGAACACCGAUGGCGAAGGCAGGUCUCUGGGCCAUAACUGACGCUGAGACGACGAAAGCGUGGGGGAGCAAACAGG
rnacentral:rRNA from 1 species